CCGACGCCGGCUGGCGCGAACUCCUCGGUCCCCAAAUAUACCAAAGUUCAUAGCGUGCGAAAUGUGGUGACUAUUAAUUUUUGGACUGUAUUUAUUAAGAUCAACGCACAUAGGCCUAACAUGUCCUGAACGAAGACUACACAUUUUUAUGAAGGCACAUAAUGUGACCCGGUUGUCUCGGCGUGAUGCAACUAGUAAUGGUUAAUUUUCUCAUCAUGUUUGAUGUAGUAUUCGUGUUCUUCCUUUUCCUGAUUGCGGUGACCUGCUUCAUGAACUACAUGCCUGGUAGAAGAAGGCAGGAGGUUAUAGAGGAAGAAGUGGAAAAUGACGUUAUUCCCCCACCUCCUCUAUUUGCUGGUGACGAAGGUAACGAUGAAUAUGCCAGCAGGGACACUUACGUGGUGAUUCCACCGCCUAUGGGAAACAUCAGAUCGAAGGAUGGAUGUCCCAUACACGUCGUGUAGUACAAGUUUUAUAUAUCAACGUAGGAGUUUAUGAAGAAGCCUUAUGAAAUUGUAGAUGUGAAAAAAAAUUAGUAUUUUUUUUACAAAUUAGUCAAAUUGAAUAAAACAAGUUUUGCAAAGACUUAAACGUGUGAAAAUUCGGGACUCAAGUGUUGGUAUUCAACUAUGAAAAUACUAAAAAUGUAACGUUGUUAGAUAAAAUAAUGAGAUAUUGUGAAACUAUUCAUAUUAUAAUGAUUGUUGUGUUAGUAGAUUAUGAAAUGUGUUCUAAACAUAGAUAAAACCUUGUUUAUGUUCAUCUUAUACAUAAAAGUGUCUUAUUUUUGUUACAUUUUAUAUUUUUUUUAAUAUUUAAAUGAAUAUGACUGAGUACUAGAUAAUAUAGUACAUAAAUUAAUAUCUGUUCUGUAGAAUACGUUUUUUGAAAUAUCAAUUUAUUUUUAUGGUAUCAUAGGGUUUAUGAUUUCGAUAUAAAAAAUAAUAUAUUUGGUGUCUAGCUAUAAGGAACCAAAUAAUAUUUACCAUGUGGUAUUUUAAACGUUUAGAAUCUUACUUGAUUUAAAAAAAAACAAGCUUUUUUUAUUUUCAUACACAUAUUUUUGUACGACUGAAUUUUGUUUAUUUUUAUCAUUUUUCUAUAAUCUAGUCAUAUUUAUAAAACUGUUUUACUACGAAAAUUGAUAAAAUUGUAUGCAAAGAACCUAAUCUCUCGUCGGAAAUAGCUGUGAUGUCAUUGCUGGAUAUAUAUUGAUCCAAUACCAUAAAAAAAAAAAAAAAUCUAAUUUCGCAAGGUAUCGCAACGUAAAAGCUCAAAGUAACUCAACACUUAAUAGCGAUGACUCAUAAAAUAUACAAUCGGAACACGGUAACCCAAUUUCGUUACUUCCGUCUGGUGAAGGUACUUACUCACCAUUCGCAUCGCAUCGCAUUACUAUGCGUGAAACUGGUAUCGAGAUUCUUACGAAUUUAGAAAUUUGAUCCAGUCUACUGAAAGCCUUAUUGAAAAAACUGGAGUGUUUGAUAACCCCGAGAUAAGUUAAUUCCGAGACGCCGAAGCAAAUGGUUAUGUCAAUAGCAAUUUAAGUCAUGCUUGUUUUCAACAAUAUUCAAAAAGGCACGUGUUGGGAUCGGUUAACAUUUUGUUAAAAAAAAACAAAUUGAAUAUUAUGAGCUAUUCUGUAGACGUCAAUAGUAGUUAGUCUAGAGUUAAGAUUAACAUAAUAAUGAAAAGACAAUACGUAUGUACCUAUUACGAUCAUUCCAUAUCAUCAUUAAAUUAUGUAUAUUUCAGCUGAUUACUUUAAAUAUGUAGACAUAGUUUAGUUAUAUGUGCUAUCAAUACUUUGUUCGAGGUGUAAGGAAUGCCUAACGUAUAUUUAGUUAGGAUGAAACAAUGUUGAUGUAUUAAAAUUAUUAUAUUAAAUAAAAAUAUUGUUUUACAAAAGAUCCAUACCUCAUUUUGUUAUUAUUUCCUUUGUAUAAUAUUUAAUUGUUACAUAAUGGCAAUAGUGAAAUAUGUUUCAUGUAACAUGUGAUAUAUAUACACAAUUUUUAUUGUAGUUAUAGAAAAUGUAACGUUUGAAUGCUAAUGAUGUCGUGAAACCUUAUUUUAUGUGACGCAAUAACAUAGACUUUGACAAAUUUCCUGACCGUUUUGUUAUUUUAACUUUUAAUAUAAAUAUUUUUUUAAAAAUUAAGAAUUACCUUAGCUUUAUUUUGAACUUUGCCAUUAAAAACGCACUGUUACAUAUUUGAAACCAUUAAUUUUAUUUCGGAGAUUUGUCUUUUGCUUUCAAUGAAUACAUUUUCGUACUUUACGUCACCGAAAUAGCUUUUAAACUUUUAAGAGUUGGUGACAUCUGGAAUUUUUAUUCUGUGGAUGUUUUGUUAUCGACUUAUUUAUAUUUAUCAUGUAUUUAAUA